UGGCUGAGGGAGGGAGUCAGGACGCAGACAUCCUUAAGGGAUUGCAGCUGUGAAAGGAAAGGCAGAGAAAGGGGAGGCUGCUAGCUAGCUGCUGCCUCCAGGGGUCUCACCCCUCCUCCGGGGCCUGUUUCUGCCACCUACUUGGGAUGACCUUGGGCCAGACCCUUCCUUCUCUAGUUCUAUCAUUUCAGGGUUCUGUAUUUCAUUACCAGAGCCGCCCUGGGAUUUGGGGAAGUCCAGACUACUAACUUGCUGUGUGGCUUUAGGCGAAUCUCUUUACCUGCUGGGCUUGUGCUUUCUCCUUGUAAAGACAAGGGGAUGCCUCUGCCUUCCAUGUGAAGACUCAGGGUGUUGGUGAGACCUACAAGUCACCAUGUUGUCCAUUUUCACAACAGCACUGGAAGGCUCCCUGUUGUAGGAAGGCAAAGAAACAGGAAAUGUUGCCAAGUGCUCUGACACCAGGCCUUCCCCAGCGUGCCCCUGCUCCAGUCUCUCCAGAAGCAUUUGGAGCUCCAAGCCCCACAGGUGACCUGUUCCAUGGAGUUCCCACAGCCUGAGUUGACUACAGAAGCCACUCAUAAGUAACAGCUACGAACACAAUGCUGAGUAUCUGCUUUGGACUAAAGAUGAUGGUAGAACAGAACUAAGACGGAGGCCUCCUCUGCCUCAGAUGCAGUAUCUACUUGCUUCAGGACCUGGGGCUGCAGUCAGAAGCACACUCCAGCUCUGCUCCAGGCCCUCAGCUGUAAGAGCUCUACCAGAAGCCACAAACCAUGGGUGCCUCAGGGAGGGCGAAGUGCCUGGCAC